rnacentral:lncRNA from 1 species
AGGUUUUAACCGACGGUUGGUGAAUUCUCUGGAGCAGUUUUCAGGUUCCUGUCAAAGGCCAAAGUCUUACCUCUCAGAUUCCUCUUGGUUUGCGAAGAAGCAGAACACCCUGUGUCUGGAGCAGGGCGAUGGGCCUAUGCCUGGCAGCAGCCUGGGCACCAAAAUCUGGGAGAGCAGCACUCAAGCAGCCCUCCCCCUUCAGGCCUCGACUAGUGACUCCUGGACCAAAGCUGCCUCUGCCUUCACCAGCACCAAGCCUGGCUCUGCUGAGGUGAGUGGCCCCUAGGCACCAAGCAUCUGCUGACUGUCUAGGGCCAUUCCAGCGGCCCACUCGUGCUCUCCCUGGCCAAGUGGUGACCCUGGCUCAUCGCUGGUCUCCAGUCUUGCUUUCAGGUCUGGAGGAGGUGCCUUUGUGGAAGGGAGAAAGAAGGGAUGGCCAGGGAGUACCCACCCUGGGUCCUUGGCGUCUGGCCAUGCUCACAGUGCAGGGGCCCACAUGUACCUGUGAUCUCGGACUCUGGCCAGGAGACAUGUCAUGCCCCAGGUCUUGCUCUUCAGG